GAUGAGGCCAGUCAGCGAGCGCAGCUGGUUGUGGUCAGCAGUGCGAACACGGUCUAGCAGGGGGUUCAGGAUGCGCUCCUGCUCCAGGGCCAGGCGGCUUAGCACCCCUGCCCACUGUACGGAAGGGCCAGGAGGGUGUUGAGUCCCAGUGGCAUCCCAGCCAGCACUGAGGCAGAGCUGCUUUUCUACCUCCUGCCUGGUACCUCUGUCUGCUGUGUUCUGGCCCAUCCAGGACAAGAGCAGGUGUCCCUUCCCCAACAAGCUGUGAAAUCCUGAGGCGUGGCCACCCACCCAGGUGCCCCUGCUGUCCAGCACAAGCCCCGAAGCAGGACCUGUCAGUCCACUGACCCUGCGGUCGCCCGCGGUGAUGUUCUGCAGAGCGCCGGCGGCUGCCUCUGUAGUGUGCCGGUUCAGCUCACAGCGCUGCAGCAGCCGGUUGUAGAGCCCCACAAUCUGGGGGCUCCACAGCCACUCGAGACCCUUGGGGUCCUUGGAUACCUCCGCAAAGGCGGUGCCCCGGUCAGGUCCCUGCGGCCCCGGCCCUCAAGCCGCUGUAGCGCGGAUGGCGGCAUCUCGUCGUACAGGCGGUAGGACAAGUUCCUUAACACACACACGGCGUUUUCCACGCUCUGCAGAGAACAGAGGGUGGUCAGAGCGGGCCGGAGCCCCUGGGGCCCCCUUGGCAUACCAGCUGGCCCUCACCUUGUCCUCGCACUUGCCCACGUCCAGGGCAUGGUUGAUGUAGGUGACCAGAGCAUCCACUAGCCCAUGGCACUCGCGCAUCUUCUGGCGAGUGGCCUGGGAGGCUGAGCUGAGGUUCCUGGGGAUAGAAGCAGAUCAGAACUCCCGCAAGAGGCACACCAAAAGUCUAACCCCCAAGAGACCCUACUGGAGCUACUCCACGGACCUCUGACCAGAAGCCCGUGCCCUGGAGAGGAGAUCACUGGGCAGUGAUCUCUGUUUCCCGAGUUGGGCCUGGCUCUUGUGCUCUUGAUGUCCCUAGAGCCAACCAAAUACCCCUUGCCGUGUCCCUCUACAUACCCAUCUUCCAAUCUACGAAAAGUCUGGGGAGAUGACUGGGAAACCUGACUUAAACCUGAGCGCACAGCUCCAGGGUCUACCGACACCCAUACCCCACAGCCAUACCCAGCUUGACCCACUCUUGCUUUAGCCCGAGCCCAGCUUCCCUGGCUAGUUUUCUCCUGGUUUCGAAUGAACAUGCUGACUGUAGGCAUCCCUGCUCUUCCCAUGGGCACCUGGCUCUUCCCCCUCAGCAUCUCCCGAGUCCAAUGCCUCCACCCAGGGCACCUGAGAAAGCCAGUAACGUUGUAGAAGAUCUCCGCCUCAGAGGCAUUCUGCUGGAGAAGGGGAGGUCCCCCUGCCCCUGAUAGGGGGCUCAGCACCAGGUCUGUGAGCUGCUCCAGUGUGUCGCGGGCCAGGCGGUCCUUCAAGUGAUCACUGGAGGACAGAUUCCAUAGGAUCCCUGGGUAGGAGGCCCAGAUAUGUGGUCAGUUCUCUAGCCCUUCUGGCUCCUCUGGGGAUGGUGUGAAGUAGGGCUGCCUUCACCUUCAUGGUACCUGGCCUUGCCUGAGAUCCCUGCUGGGUACACUUUUAGUGUGACCCUUGAAGGAAUGGGUAGGGACCAAGCAAUAGAAAUAACA